rnacentral:lncRNA from 10 species
GGCGAGGCUCAGUACGGUGUGUGGAGCUGGAGCACCGUGAGGAAGAAGCGAGGUUCUUUUUAAGAGUUCAGCUGCGAGAUAUCAAACAAAGAAUUACUCUGUACAAAGCCAGAACACAUAUAUCAAAGUAAUCCUGAAGUAUCAGAACAAAAUAAUAGAUUAUUUCCUAAUCAGUAUCCAGAAUUGGGCUCAACCUCUUCUGUUGCUUUCUUAUGUGAAUCUUGUUCACUCAAGUGAUGGCUCCAUGCAAGUUGGCCAAAGGGCUUGUAGUCCUUUACUGGGGCCUUGCUCUGUCACCCAGGCUGGAGUACAGUUGCACAAUCAUGGCUCACUGCUGCAUCGAACUCUUGGACUCCCAAUGAUUCUUCUGCUUAAGCCUCCCAGAGUGGCUGGGACUGCAGGCACCUUCCAUCACUCCUGGCUAGUUAAAAAAUAUAUAUAUAUUUUUGGUAGAGAUGGGAUCUUGCUAUGUUGCCCAGGCUGGUCCCAAACUCCUGGCCUUGAGUGAUCCUCCUGCCUUGGCCUCCCAAAGUGAUGGGAUUACAGGUGUGAGCCACCUUGCCUGGCAUAGACAUUUUUUAGGACUAUUGUAAUUCAGAUAAAAUGCUCUGGAAAGAAUACUUGCCCAGUAAUGGCAUCUCCACCAGUGAACUGAAGACAACUCUGGCUUUGAUCCUCUAGGAAACUCAUGAACUCUUUUUUUUCUUUUUUGGAGAUGAGUCUCGCUCUGUCACCAGGCUGGAAUGCAGUGGCGUGAUCUCUCACUGCAACCUCUGCCUCCCGGGUUCAAGCGAUUCUCCUGCCUCAGCUUCCUGAGUAGCUGCGACUACAGGCAUGCGCCGCCACACCCAGCUAAUUUUUGUAUUUUUAGUAGAGACGGGGUUUCACCAUGUUGGCCAGGAUGGUCUUGAUCUCUUUACCUCGUGAUCCGCCUGCCUUGGCCUCCCAAAGUGCUAGGAUUACAGGCAUGAGCCACUGUGUCUGGCCAUGAACUCUGUUUCUAAGCAACUUAUAUAAAUCUCUCCCUUUCUGCCAAUAAAAGCUUCCUUUUCCCCUUCUGUCACCAGAUGUACUUGUGGCUUGCCCUUCUGUGCAUCCUGGAUUAUAAUCCUUUUCUCUCAUUCUCAAAUAAACUCAACAUGUUUGGAG